rnacentral:lncRNA from 1 species
UUUUCAAGGUCUUGGCUUCCUGAUUGAGAAAGUGAGGUUGUAUUUUCUGGAAGAAACGAAAAAAUGCAGAACAAAGCGGAACAGCUUCCAUGAUGGCGAAUCGUAUUUUCGUCUGCAAAAUUUGAGGGAGAACAUAAGUUAACAGACAAGAAAAGAGAGUCUGCAUUGAGCAAUCAAUUUUGUGGAGCAAUUUAUCUCAAUUACUACCUAAACGAGAUUUCUUUUUCAUGUUUCAGUGCAAAUAUAAAUAUUUUAUCUUGAUCUGAAGAUGCUUCCUCGGCUUUACAGAGGCAAUAGAUGCUACACCCUGGUCAAAAUCAUUACACAAAUAAACAGAAUUAUUAACGAACAAGCAACGACAAGUAACCAAAAAAGCAAAAAACACUACAAAAAUAGGAUAACUUACAUCUACCGGAGCACCACUCGUUUUAGUCAUUACAG